UUAAAGAUUUUUUUCAACCAUUUCCUUGUGAGUCUAGGUUAAAAGAAUGCAAUUUGUCAGACAAUAGCUGUGCUGAAAUAGCCUCAGCUCUGAGGCUCAACCCGUCCCAUCUGACAGAACUGGACCUGAGUGGAAACCAACUUAAGGACUCGGGAGUAAAGCACCUGAGAGGCUUUCUGGAGAGUCCUGCUUGCAGACUGAAGACUCUAAGGCUGGCUGACUGCAGUUUGUCAAAGCCCAGCUGUGAUGAUCUGGUCUCAGCUUUGAAGUGUAACCCAUCCCAUCUGACAGAACUGGACCUGAGCUGGAACGACCUGGAUGAAUCAGAUGUUCAGCAGCUCUCUGACAUGGUGGAGAGUCCAGAUGUAAAACUGGAAACUCUAAAAUGGGAUUGAUGAAGACAACCUUGAUGUGAUUGGCUCAUCAUGGUCAGGCAAAUAAGAAGCAGAACUUGGGUUGGUUUGGUUUACCCCGGAUUUUCUUUCAACUCAGUUUGAUGGUGACGGAUUUUAAAGUUUACUCUGUUUAAAUGUGCUCUGUAUAUUUCACAGCUGUCUCUUAAAUGUAUCAGUGUCUUUCCUUCAUUUUUUUAAUCAAAGAUCAUCCCUUAAUCCUGUUUUUUUAAAAUCUCUUUUGGUAUUUGGUCAUCUGCUAGACACUGGGUUCCCAUCCCAGGGUUCUGAGUUAGAUGCAAAGACACACAGACAGAGGGAGCCUCAGGCAUGGAUGCAAAUCUGGAUUUUUACAUUCUGAUUACAUAAUUUUAAAACACUUAAUCUGCUUCAUCUAGAUGAUCUCAUAACCUCUUACUUGACUUUUGUUUGAUGAUAAAAUGUGUUUGAUUUUUUUUCGGUAGUGGGAGAGCAAAAGUCACUGGUACAAAUUUUUCACAAAUUGAAAAGCAAAGUCAUCUGAUCAAUUUUUAGAACAAAAAUAUAUAUGUUUGUAUCUAUCUAUCUAUCUAUCUAUCUAUCUAUCUAUCUAUCUAUCUAUCUAUCUAUCUAUCUAUAACAAAAUAACCAUUUUAUCAAAAGAUACAUAGACAAUUUAUUGUGUAAAACACAACAAAAGCAUUUAUCAAACACCAUACAAAAUUUUUUAUGGUUGAAAAAGGGAUAUGGACACUACAUAAAUGCUUUGAUUAAAUGUUGAUUAAAUAGGAAGGCUCAAGACUUACUUUUGUAAUCUGACUUUUAGCUGAAAUGUAGGGCUAAUAUUUAUUUAAUAUUUAUAUUAUUUUAUGUAUUCAUACUGUUUUUACUUAUUUGUUUUUAUUCAUCUUCAUUUUAUUCAUUUUUGGUUAUUCAUUUCUUUUUGUGUGAUUUAACUGUGAACAUUUUGUUUAAACCAUUGUUUGUCUCAGAAGGAUCCUCCUCCACGCUAGUGAUGAACCAGUUUUGUUUGACACCGUGAGGAGGAUAUUGUGUGUUUUAAAAUGUAUUUUUUGUGUGUAUGAAGGUCUUUUGUUUCUGCAUUUGAAAUAAAAAAAAUGUAUUUAUUAUGUGAA